UUCCGAGAUAAAUUUUUGAAAUUUUCUUGAUUAUUUAUUUUACUCAUCGCUGCGAUAACAACUAAUUUCAAGCGAGAGUAUGUUGUAAUUGAUUGCUUAAUGAUUUUGUUUUUGUUAUGAUCUCACCUGACUGCCAUUAUUGUUUUCUGCUUUUGCUCCCUUCAUUUCCUGUCGAUUUCCCCCGAACGGUAGAGGGCCGCCGGGAGCAGCACAUAUAGCAGAAGUGUAUUAAAUUUAUUUCAAAGCACAAUUCAGCACGCAGGGAGCAGAAUUUUCAGAAAAUAUCGUUUUUUACUUUGCUCUCAUGCGAAACCCAAGUGAAGUGAUUUUUGGAACCCUUCUCCUCAUUCUUAUAGCUCCUUCCUUCACACAGCCCACAUCUCCUGUUUUAAAGUGGAUGGAACGGUGUGAAUUUCAAAGCAACGUUAAUAUGUCGGACCAGACGCUGAUUUGCGACAUUGACAACAUUCCUCAAGAUUUAGGAACAAUUCUUGCGCUAUUGAGUUUUAGGGGCCAAUGCUCAGAAAGAGAAGUGAAUAAAGAAGCUGUAUGUACAUCUUCAGACGAAACACGUCUUUGCUUGCCGAAAUCUGAAGGCGAAGUUGGUUUCAUGCGCUCGACUUUUAUGCAUCACAUCAUCAAUACUCUCUCGACGCUGCAGUUGCUUUGGACACCUGCAUAUUUCUUCCGCUACAAAGACACAGUUGGAUACUAACCAGAAAAUAAAAUAGUAUGACCAUUUUUAUGCU